rnacentral:lncRNA from 1 species
GGGAGGGAUCUAUGGAGAAUAGCCCUCUAGUAAAGAAUAAAGAAUUAAUCUAAGCCUUUAGAUAUAUUAUAUUCGACAGCCAUGAUUAAUUCCAAAUAUCCAUUAAAAAAUCUUGUUUAGUUAAUAUAAACCAUUGUAAUAUUCCUUUGAGGGUUAUUCAGUCUUUUAAAUCCACCCACGAUCUGCCCAAAUCUCUCCCUUUCAAAUUACACGCCUCCAUUAACCCCCAUUUCUAGUCUCAUUCUCUCUCUCUCUCUCUCUCUCUCAUCUCUCAAUUUCGUGAAGCUGCUGUUCGGUGGAGGGUGACGACUUCACGGCUGAGUCGAAGAAGAGAACCAUGGGAAAGCGCUUGUGGCGGCGGACGAAGAGACUGGUGUAGUGUAUUCGCGGUUGCAUGCGACGGCAGCGGCCUCCGAUUAGCCCCAAUUUUCGAAAGAAUUCAUUUUUCUGACGCUUCCGUUCGCCCUCUCCUCAUCUCCGGCGGAAAAUUUAUUUAUAGAUCUUGUCGAAUCAUGAAUCUGAUAGAGUAGCGGAGCGUCUCCGAUCUCACCUUCUCUGUCCUUUAAUGUGAUCUUAACCACCGUCGCCUCUAGAGAAAUUUUUUAGUCCCUGAUCUUCGCACUAUUUUUCCGUUUGGAGAUAAAGGUAACCGACACCAAGACUUUGGAAUGACUUGUUUUCACAUUUGAUUUAAUAUUUUUUAUUGUGUAAAUUAGGUGAUACAAUAGAGAUAUAGUGCGCACCAACUUUUUUUGAUGAAAUAUGCUU